rnacentral:rRNA from 1 species
AUUGAACGCUGGCGGCAUGCUUUACACAUGCAAGUCGAACGGCAGCGCGGGCUUCGGCCUGGCGGCGAGUGGCGAACGGGUGAGUAAUGCAUCGGAACGUGCCCAGCAGUGGGGGAUAGCCCGGCGAAAGCCGGAUUAAUACCGCAUACGACCUGAGGGUGAAAGCGGGGGACCGAAAGGCCUCGCGCUAUUGGAGCGGCCGAUGUCGGAUUAGCUAGUUGGUGGGGGAAAGGCUUACCAAGGCGACGAUCCGUAGCUGGUCUGAGAGGACGACCAGCCACACUGGGACUGAGACACGGCCCAGACUCCUACGGGAGGCAGCAGUGGGGAAUUUUGGACAAUGGGGGCAACCCUGAUCCAGCCAUGCCGCGUGCGGGAAGAAGGCCUUCGGGUUGUAAACCGCUUUUGUUCGGGAAGAAAUCCUCUGGGCUAAUACCCCGGGGGGAUGACGGUACCGGAAGAAUAAGCACCGGCUAACUACGUG